CAAGAGCGUAUGUAAAAGUUGUUGCAGUUAAAAAGCUCGUAGUUGAACCUUGGGUUUGGUUGGCCGGUCCGCUUUUUUGCGAGUACUGGAUUCAACCGAGCCUUUCCUUCUGGCUAACCAGUCGUUUCGGCGGCUGGCGAACCAGGAUUUUUACUUUGAGAAAAUUAGAGUGUUCAAAGCAGGCAUUAGCUUGAAUAUAUUAGCAUGGAAUAAUAGAAUAGGACGUUAUGGCUCUAUUUUGUUGGUUUCUAGGACCAUCGUAAUGAUUAAUAGGGACGGUCGGGGGCAUCAGUAUUCAGUUGUCAGAGGUGAAAUUCUUGGAUUUACUGAAGACUAACUACUGCGAAAGCAUUUGCCAAGGACGUUUUCAUUAA
rnacentral:rRNA from 1 species